CCCACCGGCGCUGUCACCGCGGACGCAGUGCCCCGCGUCCCCAGCGCCAACUCCUUGCGGCCACCGAGGUUCCCCGAAAUGCCGAGGCCUCACCGGCUCUCAUUUCGCGAGGAAGCAACCGCGCCCCUCACGGCAAGGAGGUCACUGGAGCCCAAAAUUUAAAUGGGGGCAGGGGAAAGAGGAAGGAAAGGGGCCUCCUUUUGACUUUCUGCGUCGCAAUUCCUCGCGGGCUGCGGGCAGCCGAAUCUGGGCGGGGAGAGGGGGGGCGCUCCCAUUUUGAAUGCUUUUCUAUCCUUUCCUGGAGCGGGGCUCUUUAGCAAGAGGGCAAGCCCCGGAGAACGCCAGGGAGGCGCCCGGCGCAGGCCCGCCACCCGCACCCCGGCCGCGAAUCGCCGCGCUAGGUGCCCUGCAGCCGCCUGUGCCGCCGGAGCCGCGGGAAGAGCGGCAGCCGCCCCUUUGGGAUCCGCGCGCCGACAGCCGCGCCGGGCGAGAUGCGGCGGCCGCGCGGCUGCAGCUCUAUGAUGCCCUCCUCCCUAGAACCCCGGCCCCCGCCCCGCGCACCUCGGCAGCUGCCGAACCGCAGCUCGGGAUUCCGACUGUCACAGCCCCUCUGGCCCGGCUCGGGGUUUCUCGGUUUUCGGCGUCACAAUAAUAAGGAAGUUUCCCCGCAAGCCUGCGGGCGGCGGAAUGCGCUGGGUGAAUGACUUUUCACCUGGCCAAUGGACGUCAUUCUGGGCUGACCGCGCACCAAUAGUGACUGCGGUAGCGCGGAAUUGAGGCGGGGCGACGCGAGCCGCGGGCGGGAGGCGGGGAGAGGCCCAGGCCGGAGAAGGAGGCGCGGGCGGCCGGAGGUGACAGGACCGCCGACCCAGCAAGGGACAGCGACACUGGCGUGUGAGCUGAGAUCGGACUCCAAGACACAGCUUUCGGCAGGAAUAAGACUGCUUUUCACUGAUGGGGAAGCGAAAGAACUGAUGACUUUGUGGCUACCCUUUACUAUAAGAGGAAACUAAAAAACUUGGUAUUUAAUUUUCCACUGGCCUUCAGCAUUUUGGUUUCAGCCUACAUAUACUAUCGUUAUUGAUUCUGUUGAUUCAGUUUCCCUCUUUCCAUUGACUCUUGAAAGCCUAGAGCAAAUUGAGUGGUCUAUAUAAAAUCCUAUUGCAUUCAUCUGAAGAACUAACCUCAAGUUUCAUUUUAACGUUCCCAUGUCAUUUUCCUGUUCUUAGAAUCUCUCUAAAUUGCUCAAGCCAGCCUCCAACUUGUGAUCCUCCUCCUGCCUCAGCCUCCUGAGAAGCUUGGGUUACAGGCAUGCAUCAUCACUCCAGUUUCUGCAUCAUCAUUUUUAAUAUCUGCAUGAUACCUGACAAAAUGGACAUAUUAUCAUUUAUUUAAUCAAUUUGCCCCUGGCACAAGUUAAAUUGUUUUCAAUUUUGGGCUAUUAUAAAUAAUUGUGCAACAUAACUAAACAGUGACUAUAGCUAAAAAUUUGCCCUCAGCCUUGAUUAUUUCCUCAGAAUAAAUUCCUAAAAGUGGAAUUGCUAGAUCAGGCAGGAUACAGGCUCAAGGUUUUAUAGUUCACAAGUUUAACUAAUAAAAUGUUUUGUAGCAGCCAAACACACCUAAUAUCUAAAUGGCUUCUGUCUUACUUCCUAACCAGUAAAUCCUAAAAAUAUUUUGUAAUAAUUUUGUAAAUUACCUGAAGUUUUACUGAAAUAUAUGAACAUAAACAAAAAUAAAAUAAAUGAGAUAUCCCAGUAAAGAGCAACAUGCACAUAUAUAAACAUUAGCUAAGGUAAAAUGUUUCUAAAUAUUCAUUUCAAAAAUUACCUCAGUGCCUAAAAAUUUAUGAUUGGAUUGUUAGUUCUUUGCCAAAAUUCUGUUUUAUGUCAUGUGUUUUCCCUAACCCUCCCACAUACCUGCCAAAAAUAAAGGUUCCAGAAAGGAAGUUCUGAACAAACUCAAACUGUUGUUAAUCAUUUUGAUCUUCAGUACACUUGUACAAGCCAAUAACAAUGAGUUGAUGGUUCACCAAGUUCCCUAGCAAAAUGAAAAGCAGACAGUGUCAGAAUUUGUGUUAUCCAAUACUAUAAAUAAUGAAAUAAUAAAAUAAAAAUAAUUU